rnacentral:lncRNA from 1 species
AGAGCCUCAGUCUCCCGUGAGCAGAGGGUGUGUGUGUGGCUGCCACUAUUCUGCAGACACGCUGGCUCCACCCCAGAGAGUUGCAGGGCCAGGAAAUCUGCAUUUAAACAGACCCUGGCUCUCACACUUCGGAAACUGCCCGAAGCACCUCUCAAAUAUGGGACAGAUUUUCAGCUGCAUUCAGAGUUCAGCAGCUUUCGGGCGGUUCCUGGAAGCCCGACGUCAUUUAUAAUCCGGUUUCUGAGUGGGAACGGCUUUCUCUGGGAGACAGCUCCUUGGGAAGUUAGAGACUUCCUGCACUUAUUGGACUCGAACAUCCAUUCUGUACAAAAUGCCCCGCAACACUGAGGAGAUGCUGUUUUGUUUUUGUUUGUUUGUUUGUUUUUUCGAGACGGAGUUUUACUCCUGUUGCCCAGACUGGAGUGCAAUGGUGCGAUCUUGGCUCACUGCAACCUCCGCCUCCCGGGUUCAAGUGAUUCUCCUGCCUCAGCCUUCUGAGUAGCUGGGACUACAGGCAAGAUGCUGUUUUAGGACCAGAAAUCUCCCAGGGGUGUGCAGAUCAACAGUAAUCCCAGUCUGCCCUCCAUCGUCGGAAUAGAAUCAGAGGGAGGGAAAAUCCGCCUUUGGAUCUCUGGACCAUGAUCUUUCCAGCAGGUCACAGGUGACCAAAGGCUUCACUUGCAGAAGCCCCCUCCCCAGGAAACUCCCCUGGGGCAAAACGAAAGUGUUUUGGGCGUUUUUGUCUGCCUGGCAGGGAGCCUGUGCCUGAGUCACUGUUUCUCUUGAGCUUCCCUUUUCUUUUCUUUCCUCCCGGUGUCUGCUGAUUUUGUGUCAAACAAGGAGCAUGGGGCCAGGCCAUCUCUGAGCUGCCCGUGGGACGGGGACUUGGGCACUUGCCAGGAGCGGCUGGCCUAGGAGUGGGCGGGAGGCCCUUGGUCACCCACCCCAGGGCCUGGCUUCAGGUGGCCACAGCUUUCUGACCCCCUUCUGGGCACUGGGCCACCAGCUGCUGGGCAUGGCCAGUGAGUGAGGGUGAGGGCAAGAUGAGGAAGAGGUGGCGUAAGGUGGGAAAGGAUUACUUGCCAGACGCUUGGCUGAGUCUGUUCUCUAAGCCAUGCUGCGAGGCAGGUGCUAUUGUGUCUGCAUUUUGCGGAUGAGGAAACUGUGGCUCAGAGAAGGGAAGUCACUGUUUUAAGGUGAAGUGGCCAGUGGAGGUGGGGCUAGGGUUCGAAUCCUAGGAUCAGGCACACUGCCUGGGGAUAACCUCUAGAGGUGUCUGUGCUUCCCAGCUAGACCGGAGCUCGCUGCAGCCCCUCACUUUUUCCCCGGUCCUGCUUCAGGCCCCACUUCCUCUCUGCAGGUGCUUAGGCCGAAAAUCAGGAAUCUCUUGAAUGAAUGCAUGAAGGUGGAGCCCUUUCCCUUAAUGCGCAGGUGAAAAGGGCACCUCGGUGGAUUCUACUAAAUUUAAUAGAAGGUGUCUACUCCUGCAGGCUUACCUGUAACCUUUGUCACUCACUCUUCUGAUUCUGCAAACAUAUAAACCACGGAGCCACAGCCAAGAGAAUCUGGACUUGUUCGUUUUUCCUGAAAUAGGAUAUCUUAAAUAAUCCGUGGCUCAGCACUGCGCCCUUUUUUUUCUUUUCUUUUCUUUUUUUUUUUUUUUUUGAGACGGAGUCUCGCUCUGUUGCCCAGGCUGGAGUGCAAUGUCAUGAUCUUGGCUCACUGCAACCUCUGCCUCCUGGGUUCAAGCAACUCUCCUGCCUCAGCCUCCUGAGGAGCUGGGACUGCAGGUGCAAGACACCACGCCUGGCUAAUUUUUGUUAUUUUUAGUAGAGACAGUGUUUCACUAUGUUGGCCAGGCUGGUCUCGAACUCCUGACCUCAAAUGAUCUGCCUGCCUCGGCCUCCCAAAGUGCUGGGAUUACAGGCACAAGCCACAGCACCCAGCCUCACUGUGCCCUUUUCACUGGCAGGCAUUUUAUUGUCCCUACAGACCCAAGACGGGGUGGGGGAGACGUGCUUUGUGCUCACCUGGCUGGUUCAUGGGCAGGUGGCCUGGAGGACCCAGCCCUGGCAGCUGUGGGGUAGCUCCAGCCUGGGCCGGACAGCUUCUUUCAUCGCAGGCACCACUGCGGACAUUGCUGGGAGGAAGAGGAGGGAGAAGCGACGGGCUUCAUUAGGAACGGAAAUGCCAAGAUUAGUGAAAGAAUGAAAAGAGUCAAAACAGCCUAGAAAAGGCUUCAAUGAUCCUCAAACUGGAUGAUCGAAUCCCGAAUAAUUGGGAAUCAACAGUAAAGGCCAAAGCUUUCGAUGGAUUGGACGAGGCGCGUCCACCCUGGGGAGGGCCAUCAUUUUAUUCAGUCUACUGAUGCAAAUGCUUAUCUCUUCUGGAAACACCUUCACAGACAGACCCAGAAUAUAGUUGAACCAAAUACUGGGCACCUCAUGGCUCCAACAGGUUGACACAAAAAAUGAACCAUUGCAGAAAACGAAGAACAGUCACCAACUCCCACCCAUGCAGCUGGCUCAUUUGCUGGGCUGCCCUCCCCAGCAGGUGGCACAGGAAUCCCUGCCUUGGCAGGGAGGAGGCCUGGGGUGUGUGCAGGUACCCAUGGGAAGUUUCUUUGCCAUGGGGAAAGCCAGAGUCACCCCUUGCUUGAACACAAGAGUUGGAGGUUUCAGUGAGCUGAGAUUACGCUAUUGCACUCCAGCCUGGGCGGCAGAGUGAGACUCUGUCUCUAGAUAAAUAAAUUAAAUAAAUAAAUAAAUAUAAUUUAAUAUAAAUAACUAGAAAUUUUUCAAUACUUGCAUCUCUGUAGGUUACCUCUGGAAGUGCAGGGCUUUGUCUUUUUGGAUUAACUCAGAAAUUAGACCUUCAGAAAACAACAUCAGCUCUGAUUCUCUGCACCCUUGAUGCUGCCGGUGGCGACUGCGGCUUCCUGAUGGAAAUGUAGACCUGAACAUAAGUCGCAGAAAAAUGCAGACUUGAGUUGGAGCUAAGCUGACUCAGAGCUGCCCUAGAAAGAGGCCCCGUGGCAAAGAACCAAAGGCACCCAGCAACACGAGUGAGGGUGGAAGUGGCUCUUUCCCCAUUCCAGCCUCGCGGUGACCGCAGCCCUGGCUGACACCUUGCUUGCAGCCUGGUGAGAGACAGCAGCCCGAGGACCCUGCUAAGCUGCACCCAGGCUCCUGACCCAUGGAAACUGUGAGAUGAUAAACAUGUACUGCUUAAGCUGAGAUUCGGGCUAAUUUGUUACACAGUCAUAGACAUCGUUUUUUGUUGUUGUUGUUUUUUGAGAUGGAGUCUCACUCUGUCGCCCAGGCUGGAGUGCAGUGGCACAAUCUCAGCUCACUGCAACAUCCACCUCCCAGGUUCAAGCGAUUCUCGUGCCUCAGCCUCCCAAGUAGCUGGGAUUACAGGCAUCUGCCACCAUGCCCGGCUAAUUUUUUUGUAUCUUUAGGAGAGACAGGGUUUCACCAUGUUGGCCAGCUGGUCUCAAACUCCUGAGCUCAAGAGAUCUGCCCACCUUGGCCUCCCAAAGUGCUGGGAUUACAGGCAUGAGCCACUGUGCCCGGCCUGUUACACAGUCAUAGACAUCUAUAAAAUACUCAACACGGUGCCGGCGCAUGGCAAGCAUCAGUUACUGACCACGGUGACCCUUCUGUGUACACCAGGGGAACUCAAAAUACUCAGGAAAUCUAAGCAUAUAAGCCUAGUCACCAGGCUGUCGACAUGACCCUUAACAAUGAACCUGUGUCUUUUGCCACCUCAUGAUGUCAUAGAAGAAGAGCAGCAUCAAUGUUAAGAGUCUGGAGGAGGGACUAGAUGCUGUGGCUCACACCUGUAAUCCCAGCACUUUGGGAGGCCGAGGCAGGUGGAUCACCU